rnacentral:rRNA from 1 species
CCCUACGGGGCGCAGCAGUGAGGAAUAUUGGUCAAUGGGCUUACGCCUGAACCAGCCAAGUCGCGUGAGGGAAGACUGCCCUAUGGGUUGUAAACCUCUUUUGUCAGGGAGCAACGCCGGCUACGUGUAGCCGGACUGAGAGUACCUGAAGAAAAAGCAUCGGCUAACUCCGUGCCAGCAGCCGCGGUAAUACGGAGGAUGCGAGCGUUAUCCGGAUUUAUUGGGUUUAAAGGGUGCGUAGGCGGAAUGCCAAGUCAGCGGUAAAAUCGCGGGGCUCAACCUUGCUCCGCCGUUGAAACUGGCGU